rnacentral:rRNA from 1 species
UACGAAGGGGGCUAGCGUUGCUCGGAAUCACUGGGCGUAAAGGGUGCGUAGGCGGGGCUUUAAGUCAGGGGUGAAAUCCCAAGGCUCAACCUUGGAACUGCCUUUGAUACUGGGGAUCUCGAGUCCGGAAGAGGUGAGUGGAACUGCGAGUGUAGAGGUGAAAUUCGUAGAUAUUCGCAAGAACACCAGUGGCGAAGGCGGCUCACUGGUCCGGUACUGACGCUGAGGUGCGAAAGCGUGGGGAGCAAACAGG